rnacentral:rRNA from 1 species
UACGGAGGGUGCAAGCGUUGCUCGGAAUUAUUGGGCGUAAAGGGCAGGUAGGUGGUCUUAUUUGUCUGGGGUGAAAGCCUUGUGCUUAACACAAGAAGUGCAUCGGAAACGGUGAGACUAGAGUCCUAGAGAGGGUCGUGGAAUUCCCGGUGUAGCGGUGAAAUGCGCAGAUAUCAGGAGGAACACCGAUGGCGAAGGCAGGUCUCUGGGCAUUAACUGACGCUGAGGAGCGAAAGCAUGGGGAGCGAACAGG